GAUGAACGCUAGCUACAGGCUUAACACAUGCAAGUCGAGGGGAAACGAUAUUGGAAGCUUGCUUCCGAUAGGCGUCGACCGGCGCACGGGUGAGUAACGCGUAUCCAACCUGCCCAUCACUUGGGGAUAACCUUGCGAAAGUAAGACUAAUACCCAAUGACGUCUCUAGAAGACAUCUGAAGGAGAUUAAAGAUUUAUCGGUGAUGGAUGGGGAUGCGUCUGAUUAGCUUGUUGGCGGGGUAACGGCCCACCAAGGCGACGAUCUGUAGGGGUUCUGAGAGGAAGGUCCCCCCACAUUGGAACUGAGACACGGUCCAAACUCCUACGGGAGGCAGCAGUGAGGAAUAUUGGUCAAUGGGCGAGAGCCUGAACCAGCCAAGUAGCGUGCAGGAUGACGGCCCUAUGGGUUGUAAACUGCUUUUAUAAGGGAAUAAAGUGAGUCUCGUGAGACUUUUUGCAUGUACCUUAUGAAUAAGGACCGGCUAAUUCCGUGCCAGCCGCCGCGGUAA
rnacentral:rRNA from 1 species